GACGAACGCUGGCGGCGUGCUUAACACAUGCAAGUCGAACGGAAAGGCUUCUUUCGGGGGGUACUCGAGUGGCGAACGGGUGAGUAACACGUGAGUAACCUGCCCUUGUCUUUGGGAUAACUUCACGAAACUGGGGCUAAUACCGGAUAUGAGCUCCUGCUGCAUGUUGGGGGUUUGAAAGUUUCUGGGGUUGGGGAUGGACUCUCGGCUUAUCAGCUUUUUUGUGGGGUAGUGGGUUAACAAGGGUUUUUCGGGUAGGCGGCCUGGGAGGGUGAACGGGCAAAUUGGGGAUGGGAAAAGGCCCAGAAUCCCUAGGGAGGGAAGAGUGGGGAAUAUUGCAAAAUGGGUGGAAGCCUGAAGGAGCAAAGGCGGGGGCGGGAUGAAGGGCUUCGGGUUGUAAACCGGUUUCGGUCAGGAAGAAGCUGUGUGUGACGGUAGUGGGUAAAGAAGCACCGGCUAACUACGUG
rnacentral:rRNA from 1 species